rnacentral:rRNA from 1 species
UACGUAGGGUGCGAGCGUUAAUCGGAAUUACUGGGCGUAAAGCGUGCGCAGGCGGUUUUGUAAGACAGAUGUGAAAUCCCCGGGCUCAACCUGGGACCUGCAUUUGUGACUGCAAGGCUAGAGUACGGUAGAGGGGGAUGGAAUUCCGCGUGUAGCAGUGAAAUGCGUAGAUAUGCGGAGGAACACCGAUGGCGAAGGCAAUCCCCUGGACCUGUACGGACGCUCAUGCACGAAAGCGUGGGGAGCAAACAGG